CUUUUCAGUUUGAGUUCAGUAAAUUGAUCAAAGGGAAAGGACCAGCUGGAAUGAGUUCUGUCCAAGGACAAAGCUCUCAAUACAUAGCAGGAUUUAUAGGUAAUUCCCACUCUAUUAAUGUUCCUGCUGCUAAAGUUUAUGAUAUUAGUUCUUGGAUAAAGCUCUCAUCACAAGUAUUGCACCUACAAUCGCAGAAGCUGUUGAGAUUAUAAUCUUCAAUAGUAAAAUCCAUCCCCUAUUUGACUGCUGAAGCUCAUUACAUGGAGGUAGCCUCAAAUCAGGGAUACCGCCAAGCAACCUUGCUAAAUCAUUACCCUCCCCUUUAAGCUCAAUAACUUUCAUAUACAAACUAACCAUUUUUCUGCUAAGCUUUGAUCUGCGAACAGCAUAGCAUUUUCUGAUGUGUUCAUAUUUUUCAAGGCAGGAUUUUGCUUUCUCCUCAACCUCAUGCACGUGGAUACUCCAUCUGUUAUAGAUUUCCCCGUAGUUUUCUCGCCGUCUACGGAUCGUACGUUCAAUACC
rnacentral:lncRNA from 1 species